GGCAAUUUCCGGCGUGUCUAUACAUGCAAGUCGAGCGGACAGAAGGGAGCUUGCUCCCGGAUGUUAGCGGCGGACGGGUGAGUAACACGUGGGUAACCUGCCUGUAAGACUGGGAUAACUCCGGGAAACCGGAGCUAAUACCGGAUAGUUCCUUGAACCGCAUGGUUCAAGGAUGAAAGACGGUUUCGGCUGUCACUUACAGAUGGACCCGCGGCGCAUUAGCUAGUUGGUGGGGUAAUGGCUCACCAAGGCGACGAUGCGUAGCCGACCUGAGAGGGUGAUCGGCCACACUGGGACUGAGACACGGCCCAGACUCCUACGGGAGGCAGCAGUAGGGAAUCUUCCGCAAUGGACGAAAGUCUGACGGAGCAACGCCGCGUGAGUGAUGAAGGUUUUCGGAUCGUAAAGCUCUGUUGUUAGGGAAGAACAAGUGCGAGAGUAACUGCUCGCACCUUGACGGUACCUAACCAGAAAGCCACGGCUAACUACGUGCCAGCAGCCGCGGUAAUACGUAGGUGGCAAGCGUUGUCCGGAAUUAUUGGGCGUAAAGGGCUCGCAGGCGGUUUCUUAAGUCUGAUGUGAAAGCCCCCGGCUCAACCGGGGAGGGUCAUUGGAAACUGGGAAACUUGAGUGCAGAAGAGGAGAGUGGAAUUCCACGUGUAGCGGUGAAAUGCGUAGAGAUGUGGAGGAACACCAGUGGCGAAGGCGACUCUCUGGUCUGUAACUGACGCUGAGGAGCGAAAGCGUGGGGAGCGAACAGGAUUAGAUACCCUGGUAGUCCACGCCGUAAACGAUGAGUGCUAAGUGUUAGGGGGUUUCCGCCUCUUAGUGCUGCAGCUAACGCAUUAAGCACUCCUCCUGGGGAGUACGGUCGCAAGACUGAAACUCAAAGGAAUUGACGGGGGCCCGCACAAGCGGCGGAGCAUGUGGCUUAAUUCGAAGCAACGCGAAGACCUUACCAGGUCUUGACAUCCUCUGACACCCCUAGAGAUAGUGCUUUCCCUUCGGGACAGAGUGACAGGUGGUGCAUGGCUGUCGUCAGCUUCGUGUCGUGAGAUGUGGGGUCAUG
rnacentral:rRNA from 1 species